GAUGAACGCUGGCGGCGUGCCUAAUACAUGCAAGUCGAGCGAACAGACGAGGAGCUUGCUCCUCUGACGUUAGCGGCGGACGGGUGAGUAACACAUGGAUAACCUACCUAUAAGACUGGGAUAACUUCGGGAAACCGGAGCUAAUACCGGAUAAUAUAUUGAACCGCAUGGUUCAAUAGUGAAAGACGGUUUUGCUGUCACUUAUAGAUGGAUCCGCGCCGCAUUAGCUAGUUGGUAAGGUAACGGCUUACCAAGGCAACGAUGCGUAGCCGACCUGAGAGGGUGAUCGGCCACACUGGAACUGAGACACGGUCCAGACUCCUACGGGAGGCAGCAGUAGGGAAUCUUCCGCAAUGGGCGAAAGCCUGACGGAGCAACGCCGCGUGAGUGAUGAAGGCCUUCGGAUCGUAAAACUCUGUUAUUAGGGAAGAACAAAUGUGUAAGUAACUAUGCACGUCUUGACGGUACCUAAUCAGAAAGCCACGGCUAACUACGUG
rnacentral:rRNA from 1 species